AUACGGAAGGUCCGGGCGUUAUCCGGAUUUAUUGGGUUUAAAGGGAGCGCAGGCGGAGAUGCAAGCGUGACGUCAAAUUUCGGGGCUCAACCCCGUCUCGCGUCGCGAACUGCGUCCCUUGGUUGCGGGAAGGGGAGGCGGAACUCGUGGGGGAGCGGUGGAAUGCAUAGAUAUAACGAAGAACUCCGAUCGCGAAGGCAGCCUUCCGGCCCGUCAACGACGCUCAUGCUCGAAGGUGCGGGUAUCAAACAGGAUUAGAUACCCUGGUAGUCCGCACAGUAAACGAUGGACACCCGCGGUUUGGCCUGUAUGGCUGAGCCGCCAAGCGAAAGCGUUAAGUGUCCCACCUGGGGAGUACGCCGGCAACGGUGAAACUCAAAGGAAUGGACGGGG
rnacentral:rRNA from 1 species